rnacentral:rRNA from 1 species
CGCAUCUGUGCAUGCAGUAUAUCAAUAAGCGGAGGAAAAGAAACUAACAAGGAUUCCCUCAGUAACGGCGAGUGAAGCGGGAAGAGCUCAAAUUUGAAAUCUUGAAAGGUCUACCUUGCACGAAUUGUAGUUUAAAGAAGUGUUUUCUGCUGACGAUCUGGUAAUAUAGUUCUUUGGAAUAGGACAUCACUAGAGGGUGAGAAUCCCGUCUAUGAUUGCGUAUUUGUAGCUUUGUGAUACACUUUCAAAGAGUCGGGUUGUUUGGGAAUGCAGCCCAAAACGGGAGGUAAAUUUCUUCUAAGGCUAAAUAUUGGCGAGAGACCGAUAGCGAACAAGUACCGUGAGGGAAAGAUGAAAAGAACUUUGAAAAGAGAGUUAAAUAGUACGUGAAAUUGUCAAAAGGGAAGCGUUUAACACCAGUGUUGUUUUCUGAAAAUCAACCUCUGUUAGCUUUAUGCAUGUUUGUUUAGACCUAAUCAGCUAUCUUGCAUGUUCUAUUGUUUGCAGUGGUGCACUUUUCAGUUUACAGGUCAACAUCAGUUUUUUUUACCGUAAAAAAGUUAAAGAAAGGUAGCUCAUGGCUCCGGUCGUGAGUGUUAUAGUCUUUUUCCUAUGCGGUAGGAGAGACUGAGGUCUGCAGUGUAGGCUAUUUGGCUAGAUACUCAGGUGCUAUGUGAUACCAUUUCAUAAACAACUUGUUGAUUAUGUUUUGUCUAUUGCAUACUCGCUUGUACUAUCAUACCUACGCUUAGGAUGUUGACGAUCAGCUGAGCGCG